AAAAGAAAAAUAGAUAAAGCCUCUUAAAUAUGCCAAAUGUUGUAAUAAUGUGGGCCACCACUGUUCUUUUAAAUAUAAAGA